UUUUUUUUUUUUUCAAACAUGGAGUUUCACUCUGUCACCCAGGCUGGAGUACACUGAAGAGAUCUUGGUCCACUGCAGCCUGUACCUCCUGGGUUCAAGCGAUUCUCCUGCCUCAGCCUCCAGAGUUGCUGAGAUUACAGGCAUGUGCCACC